rnacentral:lncRNA from 13 species
CGUCGGCGAACUUUAGCAAUAACGCACUUGAUUCAGUCGUGUGGCACAAAACGGCGAUAGGAACUUGACGUGCGCACAGCUCGUGCUCGCAGCAUCUUAUCAAUAAAAAAAAGCGCACUUAACGUCCGGUUGGCGUCGCGCCGGCGAUAAAUCAGUGCCAAGAGCCUGCGCGCGUUGUCGGCUCCGAGCCGAUACCGUAACCAGUACGAAUCGGUUUUGAUCGAACUUUACUCCGAAACUAAAAGGAAAGUAAUUUCUCAUGCGAUUUUUCUCAGUUAUCGCGCUGCACGCUGUGAAAACGCGAGCUUUGCAUCUGUCCACGUUCAGAGAAGCGAUCAACAUUCCAAUGGGUGGAACAUAAAUUAUUAGCAAUUAUUUAUAUUUAAGAUAGCAUGAUGUUCGAGCACAAAGCUGAAUGUAUUAGCUUAAUUAUAAAUUUGCUUUUUAUAAUUACAUAUUAUAUAAUAAUAUUUUUAAUUUUAUGAUGUUAAGUAUAAAAAAAGUGAAUUAUGAACUUAAAUGGAAAUUAAAUUGUCUACAUUAUUCGAGAUAUUAAAAAUCAUUUUUUAGUCUCUAUUUA